AGAGAGAGACAUGCGCGCAUAUCAAUAAGCGGAGGAAAAGAAACUAACAAGGAUUCCCCUAGUAACGGCGAGGUGAAGCGGGAAGAGCUCAAAUUUGAAAUCUUAAAGGGUUUCCCUUCACGAAUUGUAGUUUAAAGAAGUGUUUUCUGUUGAGGUUUUGGUAAAAGUUCUUUGGAAUAGGACAUCAUAGAGGGUGAGAAUCCCGUAUUUGACCUUUACUUUCAACUUUGUGAUACACUUUCAAAGAGUCGGAUUGUUUGGGAAUGCAGUCCAAAAUGGGUGGUAAAUUUCAUCUAAAGCUAAAUAUUGGCGAGAGACCGAUAGCGAACAAGUACCGUGAGGGAAAGAUGAAAAGAACUUUGAAAAGAGAGUUAAACAGUACGUGAAAUUGUCAAAAGGGAAGCGUUUGACACCAGUGUUGUUUUUCUGAAAAUCAAUUAAAGAACUGUUUAUGCUAAGCUGUUUAGACUUUAUCAGCUAUCUGUUUAGUUUUGAGCUUUUCUUUAAUGCACUUUUCAGUUAACAAGUCAACAUCAAUUUCUUUUGCUGUAAAAAAGCUUGAGGAAGGUGGCUUGAGAUUCGUCUUAAGUGUUUAUAGCCUCUUGCCUAUGCAGUCGGAGAGAUUGAGGUCUGCAGCGUAGAUCCUUCGGGGCUAAAUGCAUUUGUGCUAAGUUAUAGCAUUUUAUAGACAACUUGUUGACUAUGAUUUGUCUUGUAGCUUACUCGCUUAUGUUAUUUUACCUACGCUUAGGAUGUUGACGCAUGAGAUAUACGC
rnacentral:rRNA from 1 species